rnacentral:tRNA from 1 species
GCGCGAGUGGUGAAAUUGGUAUACACGCAUGCCUUAGGAGCAUGUGCCUUCGGGCGUGGAGGUUCGAUCCCUCUCUCGCGCACCA